AUUACUGUAUAUUGUGACAUGCUGUCUUGUGGCAGAUUAAAAAAAUAAACAAAGCAAGAGUUGGAUAAAACCUACCCUGGCUCUCAAUGUUUCUGUUUGGAACUGACAUCCUGUCACAUCAUUCACCAAGAGAAAGCACGUGGUCAAUGUAUCUCCAUGGAAGAAUAUAACCUGAACCCUGUUCUGAAAAGAAUCCAAGAAAUUCACUGAAGAGUGAGAAUAUUUCUGAAAAUCAACAAGCUCUACCUGGGUACGGGCUCUGUAGCACAUGGGCUUCAGUGAUUGUGGCGCUUGGGCUUGGUUGCCCCGUGGUGCGUGGAGACUUCCAGGACCAGGAACUGAACCCAUGUCCCCUGCCCUGGCGGGUGGAUUCUUAGCCCCUAGACCACCAGGGAAG